AGGUUUUGCGGGAAGUUGUGGAGAGAAGCAGCUGAGUGCUGAGAAGAGCCUGAGCAGGUCUGCUGUGGGCCUUUCCCAGGCGUGGCUGAGACUUUCAGGUGCCACGGGCUUCCUCCCCAGGCAUUGGAGUUGUUGUGGUGCAGGUGAUGAAGGCAAAUGUGGUGAGCAAAGGAAGAUCAGUGUGGAUGCGGCUGCUGCUGAGGAUGGCUCUUGAGGACCGGUGACCUACAGCACUGCCACAGUUAAGUUGAGGGGCAAAGGGUGUUGGGGCAUCCUCAGUUUCUGUGUAUGUGUGUGUGCGUGCUGAUGUUCAGUGUAGAGUGGAGGGUUGUUCUGGAUGAGUGGUGUGUGUGAGGCAGAGGCAGUGGGGUGUGCAUGGCAGAAAGCGAGGGUGGGUGUCAGGCAGGGCAGCUCCAGCCUGUGUCUGUGUUGUUGUGUAGUUUAUGUGGUGUGUGUUGUAGCUGUG